AUGGCUCCUUGUCCGCUCCCCCGGCCUGCGUCCGCGUCGGCGGCGGCUGCAGCUGCCUCUCCGGCCUUGCUGCGCGUUGGCUCUGCGUCCGCGUCGGCUGCUGCCGCUCCAGCCGAGGUGAGCGCCGGCUCUGCGCCCCUGUGGGAGGCGGCGGCCGCCGCGGCCUUGCUGGGCGUCGCCUCGGCAUCCGAGCCGCCCCUGUUCGUCGUCCCGGCAUCCCAGACGACCUCGAUGCUGCUGCCGUCUGCCUUGCCCGGCGACCCGUCUGGUCCGGGCGAUGUGGUGAUGCCCGUCACAGUGCAGGGAGCUCCCAAUGCUCUGGCAGCAGCCUCCCAAUGCAGUCUGCAGCUCGUCCCAAUCGCUCCACUUGCGCCGCUUCAGACGUCGACUGCAUCGCCCACCGCGGCCGCUCUAGCGGCGGAUGCCCUUGCUCGGCGCAGGUCGGACCCGGCCAUUAGUGGGCUUAUGGCCGGUGCUCGUCCCAAUUGCGGUCGUGGCCUGCAGGCCACCACCCCGGCUCCUCUUGCCACCGGCUAG
rnacentral:rRNA from 1 species